UACGGAGGGGGCAAGCGUUAUCCGGAAUCACUGGGUUUAAAGGGUGCGUAGGCGGUUCGAUAAGUCAGAGGUGAAAGCUAGCAGCUUAACUGUUAAAUUGCCUUUGAUACUGUUGGACUUGAAUCAAGUUGAGGUAGGCGGAAUGUGACAUGUAACGGUGAAAUGCAUAGAUAUGUCAUAGAACACCAAUUGCGUAGGCAGCUUGCUGGGCUUGAAUUGACGCUGAGGCACGAAAGCGUGGGGAUCAAACAGG
rnacentral:rRNA from 1 species